UUUUAAAAGCUCUCCUGUCACAGUUAUUUUAACACAUAUAAAAUGCAAGAUAGAAAUUUCUGCCUUUUGGCCGGCACCGCCAUCUUCCAGGGAAUGGGUACUGUUCAAAAAGGAAUGCCCCACAAGUGUUACCAUGGCAAAACUGGAAGAGUCUACAAUGUUACCCAGCAUGCUGUUGGCAUUGUUGUAAACACACAAGUUAAGGGCAAGAUUCUUGCCAAGAGAAAGGUACCUGGGUUCAACUAAAGCGCCAGCCUGCUCCACCCAGAGAAGCACACUUUGGUGUAGGGAAAGA
rnacentral:lncRNA from 1 species